UGAGCAACCUGCCCCAGACUCAGGGAUAAACCCCGGGGAAAACCGGGGCUAAUACCCGAUACUCCGGUCGAACCACAUGGCUCGAUCGGGAAAGCUCCGACGGUCUGGGAUGGGCCCGCGGCCUAUCAGCUUGUUGGUGUGGGUAAUGGCCCACCAAGGCGACGACGGGUAGCCGGCCUGAGAGGGCGACCGGCCACACUGGGACUGAGACACGGCCCAGACUCCGUACGGGAG
rnacentral:rRNA from 1 species